rnacentral:ribozyme from 13 species
CCGAGGUGAAAAAAAAAAAAAAAAAAAAAAAAAAAAAAAAAAAA